rnacentral:rRNA from 1 species
UACGUAGGGGGCAAGCGUUGUCCGGAAUCAUUGGGCGUAAAGAGCGUGUAGGCGGCCCGGUAAGUCCGUUGUGAAAGUCCAGGGCUCAACCCUGGAAAGCCGAUGGAUACUGCCGGGCUAGAGUUCGGAAGAGGCGAGUGGAAUUCCUGGUGUAGCGGUGAAAUGCGCAGAUAUCAGGAAGAACACCCGUGGCGAAGGCGGCUCUCUGGGACGGUACUGACGCUGAGACGCGAAAGCGUGGGGAGCAAACAGG